rnacentral:rRNA from 1 species
AUACGGAGGGUGCAAGCGUUAUUCGGAAUCACUGGGCGUAAAGGACGCGUAGGCGGGUUGGCAAGUCAGAUGAGAAAUCCUACAGCUUAACUGUAGAACUGCAUUUGAAACUGCUAACCUAGAGUAUGGGAGGGGGAGAUGGAAUUAGUGGUGUAGGGAUAAAAUCCGUAGAUAUCACGAGGAAUACCGAAAGCGAAGGCGAUCUCCUGGAACAUAACUGACGCUAAGGCGUGAAAGCGUGGGGAGCAAACAGGAUUAGAAACCCGAGUAGUCC